GAAAGAUCAGGCUGGGCUCAACAAACACAAAGGAUUCAACUACCAAGUUCUGAGCUUACCUACCAGUAAGUCUUCAGGGAACCCAGGUGACGCAAAUUGGGAUAAUGCCUUUGAGUGCCUGCCUCUUGGGAACUAAGGGAGAAAGCCUUAGUCAAACUUAAUAAGGUCUUUGCCAUGAAAGUAAAGAGGGUCCAAAAUAAGGCCGUAUCGUAUUCCUUUGUCUGAUCCACCCUUCAAAACAAAAUGAUUAUUGGUUUCUAUACAAGGAAGUGAUGGGACUGAUGAUAGAUCCAUAAAAAGUGAAGAGGAGUUUUACAAUCCCCCCUGGAUUUGGAAGCAAAGAUAAAAAAAGGAAGAAUCUAGAAAUUGAUGCAACGUGGUGAUACAUGGAAGCUAAUAAGGAAUAGAAACAAAAGGAGAAAGUUUGUCUCCUAUGCCUGGGAUGUACUUCCUUCUCACCUCUGUCUUGGGUGUUCACGGAGGACUAGCAUCUCUGUGUGGGGGCUCACCGAGCCCUUUUCAGGGCUGAUCAUCUAUCUUUAGAGUCCAUCUUUCACUCAUCUCUCACCUUUGGCUACAAGAAGCUAUGACGUGCAUAGUGACCGCACUCCCAAGUGGGCUGACUAAACCAGGUUGAGGGUCACCAACAGGCUUCAAACCCAUCAGUAGGCUAAGGGGAUGCCUAACCCAAACGUGAGAAGACUUCCUCUGGUGGAAUGGACAGAUGAGAAAAUUUUGUUCCAACAAGCUAAAGCAGAUAUUGUGGAGUGCCUGGAUCUUGGUCAGGCACUGGAGAAGCCAAGAUGAUCCACUGCAUCUUAGUCCUUGGCUAGUCAUCUUGACUUU
rnacentral:lncRNA from 1 species